GACGAACGCUGGCGGCGUGCUUAACACAUGCAAGUCGAACGGAGUGGCGAACGGGUGAGUAACACGUGGGUGGCCUGCCCUGCACUUCGGGAUAAGCCUGGGAAACUGGGUCUAAUACCGGAUAGUGUGGGAUGGGCCCGGGGCCUAUCAGCUUGUUGGGGGGGUAAUGGCCUACCAAGGCGGCGACGGGUAGCCGGCCUGAGAGGGUGGACGGCCACAAGGGGACUGAGAGACGGGGCAGAAGCCUACGGGAGGCAGCAGAGGAGAAUAUUGCACAGUGGGGGGAAGCCUGAGGCAGCGACGCCGGGUGGGGGAGAACGGCCUGCGGGUUGUGAACUCCUUUCUCCAUAGACGCGGUAGAUAGCGAAGAAGCACCGGCUAACUACGUGCCAGCAGCCGCGGUAAUAC
rnacentral:rRNA from 1 species